GUCCGCUCAGCUUGUUGGCGGGGUAACGGCCCCACCAAGGCUCAGAUGGAUAGGGGUUUUGAGAGGAAGGUCCCCCACAUUGGAACUCACACACGGUCCAAACUCCACGGGAGGCAGCAGUGGGGAAUAUUGCACAAUGGGGGAAACCCUGAUGCAGCAACGCCGCGUGAGGGAAGACGGUUUUCGGAUUGUAAACCUCUGUUCUAAGUGACGAAGAAUGACGGUAGCUUAGGAGGAAGCCCCGGCUAACUACGUGCCAGCAGCCGCGGUAAUACGUAGGGGGCAAGCGUUGUCCGGAAUUACUGGGUGUAAAGGGAGCGCAGGCGGAGAAGCAAGUCAGUGGUGAAAGGUAUGGGCUUAACCCAUAGACUGCCAUUGAAAGUGUUUUCCUUGAGUGAAGUAGAGGCAGGCGGAAUUCCGAGUGUAGCGGUGAAAUGCAUAGAUAUUGCGCAGAACUCCGAUUGCGAAGGCAGCGUACCGGCGCCCGACUGACGCUGAGGCACGAAAGCGUGGGGAUCGAACAGGAUUA
rnacentral:rRNA from 1 species